UACAGAGGUCCCGAGCGUUGUUCGGAUUCACUGGGCGUAAAGGGUGCGUAGGUGGCUGGGAAAGUUUGAUGUGAAAGCUCAGGGCUUAACCCUGAAAUGGCAUUGAAUACUGCCUGGCUGGAGGUUUGGAGGGGGGACUGGAAUUCUUGGUGUAGCAGUGAAAUGCGUAGAUAUCAAGAGGAACACCAGUGGCGAAGGCGAGUCCCUGGACAACACCUGACACUGAGGCACGAAAGCCGGGGGAGCAAAACAGG
rnacentral:rRNA from 1 species